AACCAUCAAACUUUAAUUCUACUACAGUUUCAGAUUUUCCGUUUGCAAACUCUUCCUACCCCCUGGUGAUGGAGAUGAUGAUGUCUUAGCAUAUCCUAAGGCCACCGCACG